AUGGCUGUGCGCACGCGGCCGCCUCCCGGGAGACCACGCGCCCGGCGGCAACGGGAGGCAAACCAGAGAACCCCAACCCCGAGCGUGAGGAGUCGCUGCCCGGCGGCCUCGCUGCCCCGCGCAGGAACACGGCCGGGGGGCGCCGCGCCCACAAGUUUCCUCGUCCCGGCCGGGGUGAGGCGAGGAAACCCCCGCCUCCCGCGUGCGCGGGGCCGGCUCAGGGGAAGCGGGGCCUGCGUCCUUGGCGCGCUCCCCGCCCUGGGAGCCGGAGAAGCCGAAAGAGAAAAGACGCGGCCUCUCGUUUCCCCACCUCGCGGGAGGGCGCCGGAGGGGCGGGGAGCGGUGGGGGCGCCCGGCGGAGGGCAGCACCCUCGCAGCCCAGAAUUUGUUUUCACUUUCGGCCGCACAACGGAGAGGACGCCGGGAGGUGUAGUCUUGCCAGCGGCAGGAAGUCGGCUUGCGGCGGGCGGGGCCGCGCGGAGCGGCCUACUCGGAGGAGGUGCCGGGAGGCGCGCGGACUACAAGUCCCUACAGCGCGGGCGCCGCCGCCGCCGGGAGCCGGCUGGCGCUUCCCGGGCCCCGCGUCCGCGAGCAGGCCCACGGUGUCCGCGAGCCGACACGCGGCUACCUACGCGCGCCGUCCCGCCGUCCCGCCGUCCCGCCCGCGCGGCCGCCCAGUGCGCCGCGGCGCCGCGACGAGUGCGUGCGUGGAGUUGCCAGGGACACGGGCGCGGUGGGCCGGCCCUUUGUGUCUCCCCAAACAGAGGGCGCACCUGUCGGCCCCCUCCCCCCCGCCCCUCUGGCGUCUCCAUGGAGGUGGCUUUAACGGCUCAGGCAGAAAAUAGAGCUAAUUGGCGAGGUCCCCUGGAACCGGCACGGUGCGGGACGACGCAGGCUGGCCCCAAGCCAAGCGUGGACCGCCGGCUCCGAUUAGGUAUUAGGGGAACAGCUCCCGCACGCCGGCCGGACGACGCCUUUGCCGCAGACUCGGUUCACCCUGCCCUUGGAGCGGCGCGCCCCGGCGCAAAGUGA
rnacentral:lncRNA from 12 species